rnacentral:rRNA from 1 species
UACAGAGGGUGCGAACGUUGCUCGGAAUACUGGGCGUAAAGCGCAUGUAGGCGGGUCGGCAAGUCAGAUGUGAAAUCCCCGGGCUCAACCUGGGAACUGCAUCUGAAACUGCUGGUCUUGAGUACUGGAGAGGGUGGCGGAAUUCCUGGUGUAGAGGUGAAAUUCGUAGAUAUCAGGAGGAACACCGGUGGCGAAGGCGGCCACCUGGACAGUAACUGACGCUGAGAUGCGAAAGCGUGGGGAGCGAACAGG